GACUAUCUGGAGACCCAGAACCCAGCUCUGCCCUGUGUAGAGUUUGAUGAGAAGGUGACUGGAGGCCCUGGGACCAAAGGCAAGGGAAGAAGGAAUGAGAAGUACGAUAUGGUGACAGGUCAUUCAGGGAAAGAAGACUGCAGCAUUUGCUCAUGGAGAGGAGCUGAAAUGGAGGUGAAAAAUCCACUAUUUCUGCUCAUCAUCCCUCCCCUGACAUACAUGUCACAUGCGUAGUUCUCAGCUGAUUAGCAGAGCCUUGGAUGGAGGAAGACCAUACUGACACCCACCUGAGGAAAUGGCAGGACCAAGAGGAGAGUGGGCUGAGGUUUUCCUCAUCCUAUAGGAGAGGAAGAAUAUCCUGAUGGAGGAAAGACUUACAGUGGGGACUGUGAAGGGGAUGGAGUGGGAUGAGGAAGGGAAUUAGAGAAUGGGGAACAUUCUGCCCAAGGCGUUGCCUUCUCUUAUGUACAGAUAAUGGUAGCUCUCCUUUAUUUGAGGAGCUACUCUG
rnacentral:sRNA from 1 species